AGCGAACGCUGGCGGCAGGCUUAACACAUGCAAGUCGAACGCAUCUUCGGAUGAGUGGCAGACGGGUGAGUAACACGUGGGAACGUACCUUUUAGUUCGGGAUAACUCAGGGAAACUUGUGCUAAUACCGGAUAAGCCCUUCGGGGGAAAGAUUUAUCGCUGAAAGAUCGGCCCGCGUCUGAUUAGCUAGUUGGUAGGGUAAAGGCCUACCAAGGCGACGAUCAGUAGCUGGUCUGAGAGGAUGAUCAGCCACACUGGGACUGAGACACGGCCCAGACUCCUACGGGAGGCAGCAGUGGGGAAUAUUGGACAAUGGGCGCAAGCCUGAUCCAGCCAUGCCGCGUGAGUGAUGAAGGCCCUAGGGUUGUAAAGCUCUUUCGGCGGGGACGAUAAUGACGGUACCCGCAGAAGAAGCCCCGGCUAACUUCGUGCCAGCCGCCGCCGUAAAAC
rnacentral:rRNA from 1 species